UAUUCUUAUCUUUAAUUUAAAAUGAAGUUGCAUCUAUUUGUUGCAAGAAAUAAAGAACUGCUGUCCUGUUUUGUCAACAAUGUAAGUCCGAUCAUUGUUGCCCGUGAUAUCGCAUGUGCACAACUAGAGUGGAGCGCUGAGUAAUGCCUUGCCACACGUAUUUAAUGUUUUUGUAAAACGUUUUCUGGGUUCGUAUUUAAAGGCUGAUAACUUCAAAUGAACGUGCAACAGAUAUUAAGCACAAGAUAUGUUACAGAAUGAACUACAUUUCUGACAACUAAGGAAGCUGAUACCGGUGGGACGUCGCUUUCUUGGGGCGUAUCGAACUACCCCACCGUUAGGAUCAAGAGAGACAUUCUGUUCACACUACCCGACUUGAUAAGUUUGAAGAAAAUUUGCAAUCGCCGAUUAAUAUUAGUUCUUUAUUAAGUCAGCUGCGAUUAACUAAAACUAACUGCCUGGUGACAGAACGAAGGAAAAAAGUCCAGAUAGUGAAUAAUAUUAAGUGUAAACCACAUCGUCACAAUCCUUUAUAUUUGAAAUAUAUUAUUAUCAGUAAACCAAACAUAUUCACCAAGACACGAACCCAGGAGUUUCCGGCUUUGACAUCUUACGCCAUGUAAUACCUACGCCAAAACAAUCAAAUACGCGUAAAUGUUCCUUCAACUCACCAUAAAAUAUGCUUCCGGAUUACGUUCAUGUUCAAACACAAAAGAUCAAAUGCGAACAUAACACAGUAUUAGUGAAACAUAAGGUUAAUUUUACUUACCUCUCCUUGCUGAUGUCUUCCUGGCAUGGUACGACGGUGCAGAGAAGCAGCUGACCGCCGACCACUGUCCACCGUUGUAUCGCACGGAAUAAUUUCGUAUUAAAGAGCUGUAUAUCACGUCCUAUAAA